rnacentral:lncRNA from 1 species
CCAUUUGUCUAAUCACUAUGAUGAUGGUGAUGAUGAUGAUGAUGAUGGGUUCAAGGUGAAUUCUCAAGAACCCUUGGGAGAAAUGGAACACUAUAAAGGAGAGACUGAAGAAAAUAUUAUUGUUGACCAUAAUAAGGAUGAUGAUGAUGAUGUGAAGAAAGAUGGUGUUUAUGUUGAUGAUGAUGAUGAUGUGAGAUUUGUUUUGGAUCAAGAUUUGGAAGAGGAAGGUUGGUGUUUAGUUGGGGAAGAUUGAUGAUCAAUUUCUCUUUCUUUUAUUAAUUAUGUUUGGGUAUAUUUGGUUGAAUUCGGAUUGUGGGUUGGGUCAUAAUUUAAUACUAAAUGUGUGUUUCUUCUCAAACCAUUUGAGUUGUAUUUCCAAUCUAAAUAUAUUACUUAUUUAAUCUUAUCCCUCUGGAAUAUUGAUUCUAAUCAACUUUCAACUUUUCACAUAACAAUAUAUCAAAAAUUAUUAUACCAACUUCAUCCCUAUAUGCUCUUCUUUUUCCCUAAAAU